rnacentral:ncRNA from 1 species
ACAGAUGCGAUGACGGGGAAAAAGUCCCAUUGGGAUGCUUCAGAGAGUUGCCGGACGGUGCGAGGCAAUGCGGAGCGAUGGGAUGUCACUGGCCCUUGAGCAUUCAGGCUGAGCCCUUUAUUGGAUUUAGGCCUGAACGGGUUUCCUCACCGUUACCAGAGAGGCGAAAUUCACCCGGCAAACCGGGCCGAUUUUGAAAGUGGGCAUGCUGACGCAUGCCAACGAGAGUGGUACCGCGGAAGUUACAAGGCUUUCGUCUCUUUA